GGGUGCCGAUGUAGACGACGAUGCGUGGGGGUGGGGCAGCGGCGGCCAGAGCAGCUGGCCGCAUGGCGGCCGCCAUCGUCAGGGCGAGGGGCAGCGGCGCGCGGCGAGGCGGCGUUUGAGGGCGCCGGUGAAGAACCCUCCCUCUCCGAACCCCAACCGCAUGAAGACCAUGUUCAAGCCCGUCCCGCCACCGCCAUCACCGCCGCCGCCGUACUACUAGGCUGCUCGGCGUCGGCGCGUCGUGAUGCUUCCCGUCGUUGAACACUUGAGCUCUUU
rnacentral:lncRNA from 1 species